UGACUAUUUACCUCACAUUACACAAGCAUAACUGAUCAGGCCUGAACCUGAUGGUGGACGAUGGUGCAUGGCAGUUCUUCAUUCGUAGAAUGAUUUUUCUGAUUAAUUUCGAUAACGAACGAGACUCAAAUAUGUUCAGAAUUAUCGCAUUGAAGCUUUUAUUAUGGCCUUCUUACUAGCAUAGUAACAUGUGUGAGUGUUUGAAUGUGUUUAUGAAAGUGGAACCAUAUCUGUCGGCUUGCUCUUUUAUAGGACUCUAGUUCCUUAAAUAGAGAAAUUGCCUCUUGCGCGAUUAUGCAAUAACAGGUCUGCAAUGCUUCUAGAUGCUCUGGGCUGCUCGCACGCUACAACGAAGCUAUCAAUGGGUAUUUCAUAUACCUAUACGUCGGUCCGAGCAAACCGCUGAACCACUUUUAUGCUUAGGAUUGUGAACUAAAAUUGUUCACAUGAACAUG
rfam:Glossina morsitans morsitans, isolate Yale, WGS project CCAG01000000 data, contig: ctg10000194